rnacentral:rRNA from 1 species
AGCGAACGCUGGCGGCAGGCUUAACACAUGCAAGUCGAACGGGCACUUCGGUGCUAGUGGCAGACGGGUGAGUAACGCGUGGGAACGUACCUUUCGGUUCGGAAUAAUUCAGGGAAACUUGGACUAAUACCGGAUACGCCCUUCGGGGGAAAGAUUUAUCGCCGAUAGAUCGGCCCGCGUCUGAUUAGCUAGUUGGUGAGGUAAAGGCUCACCAAGGCGACGAUCAGUAGCUGGUCUGAGAGGAUGAUCAGCCACAUUGGGACUGAGACACGGCCCAAACUCCUACGGGAGGCAGCAGUGGGGAAUAUUGGACAAUGGGCGCAAGCCUGAUCCAGCCAUGCCGCGUGAGUGAUGAAGGCCUUAGGGUUGUAAAGCUCUUUUGUCCGGGAAGAUAAUGACUGUACCGGAAGAAUAAGCCCCGGCUAACUUCGUGCCAGCAGCCGCAGUAA